GACGAACGCUGGCGGCGUGCUUAACACAUGCAAGUCGAACGGUGAAGGGACCGGUUUUUGCUGGUUCUGGAUGAGUGGCGCACGGGUGAGUAACACGUGAGUAACCUGCCCCCUUCUUCUGGAUAACCGCAUGAAAGUGUGGCUAAUACGGGAUAUUCUGCGCCUGCUGCAUGGUGGGUGUGGGAAAGAUAUUGUUUCGGUGGGGGAUGGGCUCGCGGCCUAUCAGCUUGUUGGUGGGGUGAUGGCCUACCAAGGCGGUGACGGGUAGCCGGCCUGAGAGGGUGGACGGUCACACGGGGACUGAGACACGGCCCAGACUCCUACGGGAGGCAGCAGUGGGGAAUAUUGCACAAUGGGCGCAAGCCUGAUGCAGCGACGCCGCGUGAGGGAUGGAGGCCUUCGGGUUGUAAACCUCUUUCGCCAGUGAAGCAGGCCUGUCCCUUUUGUGGGUGGGUUGACGGUAGCUGGAUAAGAAGCGCCGGCUAACUACGUG
rnacentral:rRNA from 1 species